rnacentral:rRNA from 1 species
AACGAACGCUGGCGGCAUGCCUAACACAUGCAAGUCGAACGAGACCUUCGGGUCUAGUGGCGCAAGGGUGCGUAACGCGUGGGAACCUGCCCUUAGGUUCGGAAUAACUCCCCGAAAGGGGUGCUAAUACCGGCUAAUGUCUUCGGACCAAAGAUUUAUCGCCUUUGGAUGGGCCCGCGUUGGAUUAGCUAGUUGGUAGGGUAAAAGCCUACCAAGGCGACGAUCCAUAGCUGGUCUGAGAGGAUGAUCAGCCACACUGGGACUGAGACACGGCCCAGACUCCUACGGGAGGCAGCAGUGGGGAAUAUUGGACAAUGGGCGAAAGCCUGAUCCAGCAAUGCCGCGUGGGUGAUGAAGGCCUUAGGGUUGUAAAGCUCUUUUACCCGGGAUGAUAAUGACAGUACCGGGAGAAUAAGCUCCGGCUAACUCCGUG